UUCACCUUUUCUCAUAUAACUUGAUAUAUCAUAAUUUCUUAUCUUACCUGUAGCUGGGUAAGGUACAUAACUCUGCUUGCCUCAGUCCUGUUGGCCGACAACAGAAACCAUUUGUACUUAAAGGAAAGAUGUACAUUUUCCAAAUUUAUGCAGAAAUAACAGAUAUGCAUGAAUGUAAGCUGUCAUUGCUGUCAUCACCAUUUCUCCAUUAUUUCAACAAGGGUGACAGAAAAGGGAACAUUACUGGAAGGGUGGCCAUUGGAAGUGGGUAAAUGUAAUGAAAUUGGUGUUAUACUUGGAAUAGGCAGAGGCUCCAGAGAAGGGGUCCACCAAAUAAGGGUCAGUCAAAGAACCCUAAUUCUAGCCAUGCAAAGGUUACAUUGGGAAAUGCUGCCUUAGAUAUACUAUGCCA